rnacentral:rRNA from 1 species
GAUGAACGCUGGCGGCGUGCCUAAUACAUGCAAGUCGAGCGAACCACUUCGGUGGUAAGCGGCGAACGGGUGUGUAACACGUAGGUGAUCUGCCCAUCAGACGGGGACAACGAUUGGAAACGAUCGCUAAUACCGGAUAGGACGAAAGUUUAAAGGUGCUUCUGGCACCGAUGAUGGAUGAGCCUGCGGCGCAUUAGCUAGUUGGUAGGGUAAAGGCCUACCAAGGCGACGAUGCGUAGCCGACCUGAGAGGGUGAACGGCCACACUGGGACUGAGACACGGCCCAGACUCCUACGGGAGGCAGCAGUAGGGAAUCUUCGGCAAUGGGCGAAAGCCUGACCGAGCAACGCCGCGUGAAUGAUGAAGGCCUUCGGGUUGUAAAAUUCUGUUAUAAGGGAAGAACGACUUUAGUAGGAAAUGGCUAGAGUGUGACGGUACCUUAUGAGAAAGCCACGGCUAACUACGUGCCAGCAGCCGCGGUAA